GAAGAAUUUUAGUGACCUACGGGCAAUGGAUGGCGGGCUAGUUCUUGCUGGUGACUGCAGGUCAGAUUCUCCUGGGCACUGCGCGAAGUAUGGAUCCUACUCUCUGAUCGAGGACAGAGUGAACAAGGUGGUGGAUGUUCAGCUUGUUCAGAGCUCAGAGGUCCCCAACAGCUCAUGGUGUGAGCUUGAAGGGCUCAAGCGCAGUGUUGGCCUGCUGAGGGAAA